CAUUGAUUGGCGAACAGUCGUAUUGUCUAUAGCUGGAAGUUUUCUUGUUUGUUUCAUAUUUGGGAUUGGAAUUUACUGUAAACUGAGAAAUGAUUAUUCCAGUAGAUCAUAUUUCUUGGAGGACAAACUAAGGGACUUCUAACAAUAUGUACGAUGAAUGCCAGGAUUAUACUGUAUACAGUGUUAUUUCACCCUUUCACACUUGCAAACAAUUUUGCCCCGUUUUGAA